CGCACCUGGACAUGUUCCUGCAUGUGAGUCCCCUUCAUGUGAGACAUGUGUGACAUCUAACUUGGUGAAUUAAGGAUUUACUUCGAUCAAACCAGAGCUGACUAACAAGGACACCUUUGAUCUGAGACUCCUCUGGCGGUGACAGAAGUAGGCUGCGCACGCCACAGCGCCGGCCCAAUCAGUGACGAUCUGCAUGGAGCUUCCUCUCAGGUACACUGAGAAGCGGCAUGCAGCAGCACCAACAGCAGCAGCACCAACAGCAGCAGCACCAACAGCAGCGGCGUGUCUUUGGCUGACCUAUUUAGGUAAUUGCACUCUUCAUUAAAAAAACUCCAUCUGCAAGAGAAAUUACACUUCCCCAAUGGAAUCUAGGUAACAUAAUCUCCCUCCGGCGGACUAAUUGCAUGGCAUGAUAACCUCAUAGGCUCGGCCUGUUUAAUUUUUCAUCUCUUUUCAAAUAAUUAUGGAUCAGUAGAGAGAGGUAUUGAUUUGA